UACGUAGGGGGCGAGCGUUGUCCGGAUUUAUUGGGCGUAAAGAGCGUGUAGGCGGUUCGGUAAGUCUGUCGUGAAAUCCUGAGGCUCAACCUCGGGCGUGCGAUGGAUACUGCCGGGCUAGAGGGUGGUAGAGGCGAGUGGAAUUCCCGGUGUAGCGGUGAAAUGCGCAGAUAUCGGGAGGAACACCAGUGGCGAAGGCGGGUCUCUGGACAGUUCCUGACGCUGAGGCACGAAGGUCAGGGGAGCAAACGGGG
rnacentral:rRNA from 1 species